UACAGAGGGUGCAAGCGUUAUUCGGAAUCACUGGGCGUAAAGCGCAUGUAGGCGGUUUAGUAAGUCUGACGUGAAAUCCCUCGACUCAAUCGAGGAAGUGCAUUGGAUACUGCUAGACUAGAGUAUGGGAGAGGAGAACGGAAUUCCUGGUGUAGAGGUGAAAUUCGUAGAUAUCAGGAGGAACAACGGUGGCGAAGGCGGUUCUCUGGACCAUUACUGACGCUGAGGGUGCGAAAGCGUGGGGAGCAAACAGG
rnacentral:rRNA from 1 species